UGGAAUUAUGGAACAUAUAGCCUUUUGACAUUGGCUCCUUUCACAGAGCAUAAUGUCCUUGGAAUCCAUCUAAAUCAUUGUAUAUAUCAAUAACCCACUUACUUUUAACUGGUGAGUGUCAUCUCAUUUGGAUAUAACGCAAUUAACUACUUCAUUUACUUGUCAAAGGACACAUGCAAUUACAUACCACUCUUGAUGGUCAGGGACUGAGAAAGAAUAUGAUUGAAAAAUUGGUGACAAGGAAAUCCGGAGAAGAGGUUUGUAGAUGGACCUCUCUGAGUGAGCAAAUAAUGUGAAGAUAUUUACAUCCUAUGUCAUGCUCACCAAAGUAUGACCUCAGCACAGGAAGAUUUUAAUACUCAAAUUGAUAGGAUAGGAUAACCUGUUCUGUGGAUGCCAGUCAACUUCUUUUUUCGACCACCCCUGUCUUUGCCCAAUGGACUCCUGAGCAAAGUGGCCAUGGUGGCAGGGAUAGAAAUCAUGGGAUGUGCUCAGAAACAUGGAUUUUUACUCACCAAGGCUGACCUGGCUAUGGCCACUACUGAGUGCCCAAUCUGUCAGCAGCAGAGACCAACACUCAGCCCUUAAUAUGGCACCAUUCUUUGGGGUGAUCAGCUAGCUACCUGGUGGCAGAUUGAUUACUUUGGACCAUUGCCAUCAUGGAAGGGGCAAGGUUUUGUUCUUACUAGAAUAGACACUUACUCUGGAUGUGGAUUUGCCUUCUGUGCCCAAAAUGCUUCUGCCAAAACUACCAUUUGUGGACUUAGAGAAUGCCUUAUCCACCACCAUGGCAUUGCACAUAGCAUUAUUUGUGAUCAACGAAAUUACUUCAUGCAAAUAAAGUGUAGCAAUGGGCCCGUGCUCAUGAAAUUUGCGUUCCUCACCAUCCUAAAUCAGCUGGUUUGACAGAAUAGUGGAAUGGCCUUUUGAAGACUGUUACAGUGCCCACUAAGAAGGAAAACUAUACAAGGUGGGGAAAGGUUCCCUAAAAGGCUGUAUACACUUGGGAAUCAGUGUCUAAUAUAUGGUGCCAUUUCUCCCAUAGCCAGGAUCCAUAGAUCUAGAAAUCAGGGGGUGGAAUUGGUAGUGGCACCACUCAUUAUCCCUAGUGACCUACUAGCAAAAUGUUUGCUUCCUGUUCUUGUGACCUUAUGCUUUCCUAUCCUAGAGGUCUUAGUUCCAAAGAGAGAUGCUUCCACCAGGAGACACAACAGUGAUUUCAUUGAACUGGAAAUUAAGACUGCUGCCUGGCUGCUUUGGCCUCCUCAUGCUUCCAAAGCAACAGACAAAGAAGGGAGUCCACAUUUCUGGCUGGGGUGUUUGAUCCGGACUACCAAGGGGAAAUUGAACUACUACUCUACGAUAGAGAAUCAGAGAGCUGGUACCAUUUCAGUAGGUCCUUGGGCUGCCUGAAAAUUAUGACGCUGGAGCAUCAUUUACUCAAAAUGCUCAUCCAAAAACAGGACAUCAAAACUAGUCACUCUUCGCCUUAUGGAAACGAAUACCCCAAGGACGACAAGCAUCUGUCCGGGACCCAGCUCGAGGUGGGCAAAGAGACCUUAGAAACACAAACAGCAAGGUUUUAAUUCCAGCUGCAUCUCUUAUCAAACGGUAAGCAUGGGAAAAAUUACU